rnacentral:rRNA from 1 species
UGGGGAAUAUUGCACAAUGGGCGCAAGCCUGAUGCAGCCAUGCCGCGUGUGUGAAGAAGGCCUUCGGGUUGUAAAGCACUUUCAGCGAGGAGGAAGGUGGUGAACUUAAUACGUUCAUCAAUUGACGUUACUCGCAGAAGAAGCACCGGCUAACUCCGUGCCAGCAGCCGCGGUAAUACGGAGGGUGCAAGCGUUAAUCGGAAUUACUGGGCGUAAAGCGCACGCAGGCGGUUUGUUAAGUCAGAUGUGAAAUCCCCGGGCUCAACCUGGGAACUGCAUUUGAAACUGGCAAGCUAGAGUCUCGUAGAGGGGGGUAGAAUUCCAGGUGUAGCGGUGAAAUGCGUAGAGAUCUGGAGGAAUACCGGUGGCGAAGGCGGCCCCCUGACGAAGACUGACGCUCAGGUGCGAAAGCGUGGGAGCAAACAGGAUUAGAUAACCCUGGUAGUCCACGCUGUAAAACGAUGUCGAUUUUGGAGGUUGUGCCCUUGAGGCGUGGCUUCCGGAGCUAACGCGUUAAAUCGACCGCCUGGGGAGUACGGCCGCAAGGUU